rnacentral:pre_miRNA from 1 species
AGUGGGAUAGCUGGGUCAAAUGGUAAUUAUAUUCCAAGUUUUUGGAGGAAUCUCCAUACUGCUUUCCAAAAUGGUUGUCUAAAUUUGCAGUUCCACCAGCAAU